GCAAGUUAAAGGUAGCUGGAUGGAUUCCGUUAUCAAGAAAAAGCCUAUGGUCCAAGGGAUCAUCAACUGGACCUAGCACUACUUCUGAUGCUAUUCUGGAGAGUCUCCUGGCCCU